UACGUAGGGGGCAAGCGUUGUCCGGAAUCAUUGGGCGUAAAGAGCGUGUAGGCGGUCCGUUAAGUCGGCUGUGAAAGUCCAGGGCUCAACCCUGGGAUGCCGGCCGAUACUGUCGGACUAGAGUCCGGAAGAGGUGUGUGGAAUUCCCGGUGUAGCGGUGAAAUGCGCAGAUAUCGGGAGGAACACCAAUGGCGAAGGCAGCUCACUGGGACGGUACUGACGCUGAGACGCGAAAGCGUGGGGAGCAAACAGG
rnacentral:rRNA from 1 species